CGUAGGGACCAAGCGUUGUUCGGAUUUACUGGGCGGAAAGGGCGCGUAGGCGGCAAUGCAAGUCACUUGUGAAAUCUCCGAGCUUAACUCGGAACGGUCAAGUGAUACUGUCUUGCUAGAGUGCAGAAGGGGCAAUCGGAAUUCUUGGUGUAGCGGUGAAAUGCGUAGAUAUCAAGAGGAACACCUGAGGUGAAGACGGGUUGCUGGGCUGACACUGACGCUGAGGCGCGAAAGCUAGGGUAGCAAACGGG
rnacentral:rRNA from 1 species